UUCUCAGAGAAAGAAAAGGUGAUGCAGCAGACGCUGGGAUUGGAGAAAUUACCAGAGUGAAGUGGAAAUAGUCUGGCCAGCGUGACUUAAACCGGCCCGGAGAUGUGCAAGUACCAGUGGAACCGCCUGGGGUCGGGAUAGGACCCAGAGUGGCUUCUCAGUCAAAGGCCUUCAGAAGCAGAGGGAACAUCUUGAGUGACUUUACCCGGGCCGCGAAAGACAAGAAACCUUUGGCACGGGAAGAGGAACCGAUCUCUGGAAGUCACCAGGGCGGGUGGAAGGUCAGGGGUUCAAGGUUAUUUUGGAAUUUAGGUGCUGUGGUUCCUGCACGGUGGCUCAUGCUUGUCAUUCCAGUGCAUUGGGAGGCCAAGGCAGGAGGAUCGCUUGAGCCCAGGAGUUCCAGAGCAGCCUGGACAACAUAGUGAGACUCUGUGUCUACAAAAAAAAAAAAAAAAAAAAAAAAAAAACACGAAAGAAAAACACAUUAAGAUGCUGUAUGUAUUGGAAAAUAUUUAUGGGUCAUUCUUUUGAGCUUCAUGUCCAAAAGCUUGCUAAAAUGCUUGGGAGUUUGUGUACAGGCAUGUGAGAUUAGGAUACAUUGGCAGAAUCGCGGUGUUCUCUGUUAUCCUGGUUUUGCCACCCGGGAGGAGUUACACAUAUUGAAGGUUAGUAAGUCCACGCCUCUUCUCUUCUGGGGAAAAAGGUACUUUGGAAACCAAUAUUAUGUGGGAACGUGGCUUGGUUGGUACAGCCUUGGCUUAAUGGGAGACAGCUGCCCUCAGCUCUGCAGGUGGCAUCAAAUACGGUGGCCUCGAGCCCACAUGGGUCACACCUGGGCUGUCCCUGGGGAAGCCCGCCACGGCGGGUCACCUGGGCAUUCUUUCCCUGGCAGAGCCGAAGUCACAAUUUUUUUGUAGACUCUAAAGAGCUUUACCCUUCCGAGAUAUGAUCUUGAAUCUUUUGGAGCAUUAGGACGCAUUUCUUUUAAGGAAGUUCACCUCCAGAUGUGCUCAGACGGCCUGGUCUUAGCUGCCACAGAUUUACAAAUUCUUACAAACCCAAGGAUUGAGAACAAUGGACUUUUUGAUGUGUGUUGCAACAAACUCAUAGCCGAGGGCUGUAAAUCGGAGGGAUCACCAGGUCUGCCUACCAGCCACCAGGCAAGUGGGGAGAAGCUGUCACCCCAACUUGAGUUUCAAGAAGACUCCUUGGAAGAAAAGACCACCAAAUUGAGAAUGAAAAGAUCAUACACGGGGGUCGUCAGACAUGGUCUGAGACCUGCUGGGAAGAACAGCAGCCUGGCGCUGCUACCCUCUGGCUUCUGUUCACAGCACUGACCCCAGCUAAUCCAAGAACAUGUCACCUAUAAUGCGAAUAUUGAAGAAAAAUCAACCAUCUUCCAGAUGUGUCUAUAUCAUGAUACGGUACAUGGGUAAGGUAAGCUGAACACAACAUAAAAAAAGAAAACUUACAAACGCUCCCUUCGUCUCAUUAAAGAUGACUCCUUUAAAGAUGAAGGGCAUCUGGGGGUCGCUGGGGUUCUCAUAUUCCAGCCGCCAUCUUUCCUGCCUGAGGACAAAUAAUUAUAAGCUGACAGUGACUCAAAUACUAAAGUCUGUAUCAACUAGUUAAUCACUCAUGACAUACCAGAAAUCCAGCUCACGUAAACCUGGGGAAAAGGUCUCAUCCAAAUACACUGAGAGGAGAUUCUGAAAGUCCUUGGGAUUUUGUGUGGAAAAUGGAUACAGAGUAUAAUCACUAGCUGGGUACAAAUGAAAAGUGAAAUUGUAAAAUUAAACAGAUUUCUACUAAAAUUAUUGAAUC
rnacentral:lncRNA from 1 species